UACAGGGGGCUCGAGCGUUAGUCGGAAUCACUGGGCUUAAAGGGUGCGUAGGCGGCCCGCCAAGUGCUUUGUGAAAUCCCACAGCUCAACUGUGGAACAGCAGGGCAAACUGGCGGGCUUGAAGCAGGUAGGGGCUGGAAGAACAGUAGGUGGAGCGGUGAAAUGCGUAGAUAUCUACUGGAAUGCCGAUGGGGAAGCCGUCCAGCCGGGCCUGUCUUGACGCUGAGGCACGAAAGCGUGGGGAGCAAACAGG
rnacentral:rRNA from 1 species